rnacentral:rRNA from 1 species
AACGAACGCUGGCGGCAGGCUUAACACAUGCAAGUCGAACGGGUGUAGCAAUACAUCAGUGGCAGACGGGUGAGUAACACGUGGGAACCUUCCUAGGGGUACGGAACAACUCAGGGAAACUUGAGCUAAUACCGUAUACGUCCGUGAGGAGAAAGAUUUAUCGCCCUUAGACGGGCCCGCGUCGGAUUAGGUAGUUGGUGGGGUAACGGCCUACCAAGCCUACGAUCCGUAGCUGAUCUUAGAGGAUGAUCAGCCACACUGGGACUGAGACACGGCCCAGACUCCUACGGGAGGCAGCAGUGGGGAAUCGUGGACAAUGGGCGCAAGCCUGAUCCAGCCAUGCCGCGUGAGUGAAGAAGGCCUUAGGGUUGUAAAGCUCUUUUACCAGGGACGAUAAUGACGGUACCUGGAGAAUAAGCCCCGGCAAACUUCGUGCCAGCCGCCGCGGUAACAC